AAACAGCCUCCUAUGUUUUGAUUCUUUGGCAGUUUUUGACCCUCAAGGCAAAAAAAAAAAAAAAAAUUGACACAUGGCAUCUCACUUAGGGUGCCACGUCAGCGUUGACCGAGUCAACAAUGGACUGGGGGUCCAAAAUUGCCAAAGAAUCAAAACAUAGGGGGCUGUUU
rnacentral:pre_miRNA from 1 species